UGCCCCAUGGCUGAGUUGGUUACAGCGUCCGACUGUUAUUGGCAUGUCACAAUUUAAGUAACAUCGGAAGGUCGAGAGUUCGAGCCUCUCUGGGGCAG